CUGGUGCCAGCAGCCGCGGUAAUUCCAGCUCCAAUAGCGUAUAUUAAAGUUGUUGCCGUUAAAAAGCUCGUAGUUGAACUUCCACGGACCCAUGCGGUCUGCCUCACGGCAAGUACUGUGUGGGUUCGUGCUCCUUGGUGGUGAGCCUCGAUGCCGUUUGUUCGGUGUCUUGGUGAACCACCUCUGUUACCUUGAGAAAAUUAGAGUGUUCAAAGCAGGCAAAUGCCCGAAUACAUUAGCAUGGAAUAACGAAAUAGGACGUGCGGUUCUAUUUUGUUGGUUUCUAGAGUCGCCGUAAUGAUUAAUAGGGAUAGUUGGGGGCAUUAGUAUUCAGUUGCUAGAGGUGAAAUUCUUGGAUUUACUGAAGACUAACUACUGCGAAAGCAUUUGCCAAGGAUGUUUUCAUUAAUCAAGAACGAAGGUUAGGGGAUCGAAAACGAUCAGAUACCGUUGUAGUCUUAACAGUAAACUAUGCCGACUAGGGAUCGGACGACCUCAAAUUAAUGUGUCGUUCGGCACCUUACGAGAAAUCAAAGUCUUUGGGUUCGGGGGGGAGUAUGGUCGCAAGGCUGAAACUUAAAGGAAUUGACGGAAGGGCACCACCAGGAGUGGAGCCUGCGGCUUAAUUUGACUCAACAC
rnacentral:rRNA from 1 species